CAGAUGACUGAGAGUCGAGUGGAUUCAGUGGAUCGAAUGGUUGCGCUGAGGGAUAUCCAUGUGCAGGAGUGAUGAACCGCAGUUCAGCAAAUAAUGCCUUGACAGACCAAUUCAAGGAGAACCUUCUCUCAGAUCAGGAAGGGAACGUGUUUGCUGUGUGGAUGGAUUGGACACUUAAAUGUCCGUCAUUUUAAUAGACUAUAAUGACAAUCUUCUAAUAGACUAUAAUGACAAUCUUCUAAUAGACUAUAAUGACAAUCCAACUCCAAAGGGACUCUCUGGACUAAGGGAAAGCUAUGGACAUAGAGCCCUGACAUGAUAUCCUGCAGCCACCAUGAGGACAGCCUAUCUCAUACCUUCGGAAGGAUGCCAUCACACGCAUGAUGAGCCAUCCCACGGAAGGGAGAAGGAUGUUGUUGACCCAGCACAUCCCAACCAUCCUCCCAUCGCCGUCAAGUAACAGUACGACGGUUAGAUUGUAUUUUGUCACCGUAGGCUUUAUCGUUUUAUCAAAAUAUCUGAUUGAAAGGUGAUUUAAUGAAAAUUCAAAUUUUUCUGAUUGUGAGAAUGCAAAUAUUUACCAUGUUUAUGACAAGCAUAGAUUAUUUUAAUCCGUGUUUGGUUAUGACCAUGACUUGUGCCAUGGUUCAAAAUCUUACACUUUUCAAAGAAGGAUUGAAAUUAUGGGGGGUUGGGUUGUAUCUGGCUAACAAGGGAGCCAAUGAUUAGGUGCAAACAAAAAAAUUUUCAAGCUUAAUUUUGUGCUUAAGAUAAGAAGAAACCACAAUUUGGGGGGAACAGUUGUUUGUGGCUACCAAAGGAACCAACAGCCGCCUUGGGCAUAUGAGGACCCUGAAAUUCUUUUCAGGCAAAGGUUAUUAUUCUGCUUAAAAAUCACCAAAUUCAUCAGAUAUUUAAUUACUGGUAUAUCCAUCACUUUUGACAUGGGGUCCAUGUGUUGUUGUUUCGCUGACCCCACGAAACAAGAACACAUGUGUCUGAUGGAACUGUAGGCCUUUCAUACUGUUUCUCAAUCUCAUCAGUAUCACAGAAUCAACUGACAUGGCCUGGGCUCCGAUGCCCUGGACCUUAUAUCACACUGGCUGGCUCAGUUGCUCAAUACAUGCACCUUCAUGCUCGAGACAAAUGACCAACAGUGAUAUGUUGAAUUUGAAUUACCUUCCUCUUGAAAUACCAAAACAUCUUUCCAAUUGAACUGAAACAGUUUGAUAAACUCUCGCUGUUUUAUUAUUGAAAAUUUAAAGACUGAUCCUUCCCCAGUGGUCACGCAGUGAGCUGUUGUCAAAGCGUGUCAUUUGACAAUGGUGGCAUGCAUGCAUGUUUUGUUACGGCUUAUUAGUGACCCUAAAUUUUUGAUGAUGAUGUUCUCCAUGAGAACAUCUCCUUGGAUAAUAGGUGAGCACAAUGGUACCUGCCGUAAUGAGAAUUUUGGACUUGAUACUGAAUUGAUUGAGAAAAGUGUAAUUUAAAAACGUCAACUUUUGGACGUUUUAAAUUUUUUGUCCUGUAUGAAUGUAUUUGUAAAUCUCAUAUGUAAAUAUUUUGUAAAAUGUCUAAAUGAGAUCUAGACUCCAUGACUUUGCAAAAAGUACGGCAAUGCCAACUUUCAAUCUUUGCCCUGUCAAGGUCACCUCUUUUGUCAUGCAAAUGACAUGUCACAACUGCUCCUUUUGUCAUGCUCAGUGGCAGCCAGCUCUGUCCAGUGGCCAUGACAAAUGUGGUUCCUUUGUUAUUCAAAUUGGGUCCUGCAAAUCAACAGCAGUGACCAAACCUAUUGUAAGCUCACAUGGCUCACCUGAAGGCAUGAACAAUAGGUUUUAAUACAAUAGCUAUACAUGUGAAUGCAUGAAGAGGUUUAGUGCUAACUCAAACCAUUGUGGUGGAGUAGUUGAGUCUAUUGUGUUUGAUCUCAAUUUAGCACUGUGUUGCAAGGACACUUAUCAGUGUUUCUUUGUGACAUCUUGUAAAGAAGUUGACCACGUCUUAAAUGGAUAGUGCUACUAUCCUAUCUCCUGGUUCUCUUCUUGUAUUGGGCUUUCGGAGUGGUGCAGCAAAAAAAUAAUGUACUACGAUCAUUGUAUAAACUAUGAUGUUCAAUGUAUUAAGUCAUUUCAAACAUAAGCACCUGUCACCUGUGUGAUGGAGAUGGCGACUCCCUCCGAUUGCGUAGGUUUUCUCCCGGUGUGCGGGUUUCCUCCUACUCUACAUUCCAAAUCGUCGUGUGUUUUCCUUGUAAUGUACAACAAUAAAGUUUUUUUGAAAGAGAAA